UUCGCAAUGCCCGAAAGGGUGACGAAGCGACGCCGCGUGUGGGAAGAAGGCCUUCGGGUUGUAAACCACUGUCGGGAGUUAAGAAAUGCAAGGAUAUGAAUAGUGUCUUUGCUUGACUAAGGCUCCGGAGGAAGCCACGGCUAACUCUGUGCCAGCAGCCGCGGUAAUACAGAGGCGGCAAGCGUUGUUCGGAAUUAUUGGGCGUAAAGAGCACGUAGGCGGCUAUGUAAGUCGGUUGUGAAAGCCUUCCGCUCAACGGGAGAACAGCAUCCGAUACUACAUGGCUUGAGUGCGGGAGGGGAGAGUGGAACUUCUGGUGGAGCGGUGAAAUGCGUAGAUAUCAGAAGGAACGCCGGCGGCGAAAGCGGCUCUCUGGCCCAUAACUGACGCUGAGUGUGCGAAAGCUAGGGGAGCAAACGAGAUUAGAUACCCCGGUAGUCCUAGCCGUAAACGAUGGGCACUAAGUAGAGGGGUUUU
rnacentral:rRNA from 1 species